CGGCAGUUGAGAACACGGAGAGAAGCGGAUUUGCCAGACAUAUUGACGAAGAGAAGGACAGGAUUAGGAAAAGAUGGAUUUGUAGUUAAACUGCCCAAGGACUCAGAACUAGGGAACAGUAAAGCUGGACCAGAACUUUGGCUUUUGCUGACCAAUAAGAAUGUUUCCCACCCAAGAGUCCACUCUCCAUGAUAAAAACCGAAGCUUCUCAAGAAGUUCCGAAAGACUUGGCAGUCUACAUCAGAGCCCUAACUCACGUCACUGCAAGAAAUGCAGAUGCUGUUGUUGUUGGUGGUGGUGGUGUUUUGUUUAGUCAUUUUUUAUAUUUAUCCACGGAACCUAAGAGAACUUACUUCUUAAAAAGUGAACCUACUCACCAGAUCAAACAUCCAAACAAAUACAAAAAUCAACCUCUAAUUGAGGCAUUUGAACUUAAACGAUCCUUUCUGCCAAGUUCGGGUGUCAGCACGUGCCCGGACAAUCUCUUUGGACAUUGUAACUUUCCUUCGUGGGAAAGACACAGCUAUCUUGAGAACCAGCAGUGAAUACUCGAAUGUUUUCCUUUCCCCGAUUGAAACCUGCUAGAGGGAUGGAUCGGUGAUAGGGCAUCCUGGAAAGGCACAAGCUUCAGGAGUCAAAAAACAGUCAGUACAGAUUGUACCUCCAUCGUUUCCUGGCUAUGCAGUCUUGGGGACAAUAAUUAUAAUAGGCACCACAGCGGGUGCUACUCUUUACCUGGUGCUAUAUUGAAUAAAACGAUGGAUGAAACUUAA